CCUACGGGAGGCAGCAGUGAGGAAUAUUGGUCAAUGGGCGGAAGCCUGAACCAGCCAAGUCGCGUGAGGGAUUAAGGCCCUGCGGGUCGUAAACCUCUUUUGCCGGGGAGCAGUGGUCCGGACGCGUCCGGACCGGGAGAGUACCCGGAGAAAAAGCAUCGGCUAACUCCGUGCCAGCAGCCGCGGUAAUACGGAGGAUGCGAGCGUUAUCCGGAUUUAUUGGGUUUAAAGGGUGCGUAGGCGGGCAUUUAAGCCGGCGGUCAAAUGUCGGGGCUCAACCCCGGCCUGCCGUUGAAACUGGUCUUCUUGAGUGAGCGAGAAGUAUGCGGAAUGCGUGGUGUAGCGGUGAAAUGCAUAGAUAUCACGCAGAACUCCGAUUGCGAAGGCAGCAUACCGGCGCUCAACUGACGCUGAGGCACGAAAGCGUGGGGAUCGAACAGGAUUAGAUACCCUAGUAGUC
rnacentral:rRNA from 1 species